rnacentral:tRNA from 3 species
UCCCGGGUAGCUCAGUUGGUAGAGCGGCUGACUGUUAAUCAGCUUGUCGGGGGUUCGAGUCCCUCCCCGGGAGCCA